GGCCAAACUCGCGGCAUAUGGAGAUUCCCAGGCUAGGGGUCAAAUUGGAGCUGUAGCUGCCGGCCUACACCACAGCCACAGCAACACCAGAUCCAAGCCAUGUCUGCAGCCUACACCACAGCUCACGGCAAUGCCAGAUCCUUAACCUGCUGAGUGAGGCUAGGGAUCGAACCCAUAUCCUUGUGGUUCCUAGUCGGAUUCGUUUCCACUGUGCCACAAUGGGAACGCCCCUGAGACAACAUUUAAAAAAAAAAAAAAAUAGUCCUCAAUUGAAACUAUGGUUUUCAGAGAUCUCCUAUUAAUGGUAGAGUUUGUAAUAAACAUGCUUUCAAGUUGCAGUUUCUCCUUGCAGUAGAAUCACCCAACUUGUCAAACUGUCAGUGAAACAACACUGCCCAAGGAAACACAAAAGCUGUUGAAAGUUCAAGGCACCUGAAAGAUAACUAACCUGAGCAGGUCCCUUCUCCAUUAAUUCUCCAUGCAACUGUUUCAGAAUUUUCUUUUAUAAAGUCUCAUUCUGGUCACUCUGGUCAAGCCUGGAACUCCUCUUCCUGACACAGGAAGACAGGAAUUUACCCAGCCCGUAAAAAGCAGUGCUGGUGAUGAAUCUGGUCACAAGAUGGGAGGAAUCUAUGCACAGCAUGUGUGGACACCAUCACCAUUACGUACACUUUGCAUAUCUUGUAGUUUUGUCAAUUAUGCCUCAAGAAAGCUGGAGGCAAAAACACAUACAAUAAAAACAUUUAAUCGGCGUUAAAAAAGAUUUUUCCCGAUUACAGCAAUGUACUUGGGGUUCCUGCUGUGGCCCAGUGGAUAAAGAAUCUGACUGCAGCGGCUCGGGUGGAUGCUGAGCACAAGUUUGAUUCCCAGCCAAAGCAGUGGGUUAAAGGAUGCCACGUUGCAGUGGUUGUGAUGCAAGUCACAAUUUCGGCUCAGAUUCUAUUCUGGCCUGGGAACUUCCAUAUGCCAUGGGUACAGCCAUAAGAAAAGCAAGCAAGCAAGCAAUGUACUUUCGUGGAAGAAGAGAAAUAUCUCCUUCCAUGAAUCCCUUUAUAGGAGCAAUCAUUGGAAAAGGGAGCAGUACCAACAUAGAGAAGGAUGUUCAGAUAUGA
rnacentral:lncRNA from 1 species